UUGAAAUUCAAUACUUUACAGUUUAGGCUCUGCCUCUUAUUGAAACGUGUGGCCAUGAAUCAUUGGGCGGUAACAUCCGUAGGGUUAUUGCGCCACUGGGGAAUGAACAGUUCUUUUCCCAAAUUCUGUGCCAAGCACUGUGAUAAAGGUGUCGCUGCUUCUCUAAUGGACAUACCGGACCUAUAUGGUGCUGUGGAAGUGAGUUAAGAAGGUUUAUGGCGCUUUGAGUUUAUUUUCAGUAGCUCCAAAAAAAAAACAGCAAUGAACGUUGUAUAUCGAUUUGUGCUUUUUCUUUUCCAUAGAUCAGUGUCUUUCAGGCUAUCCAGUGGUGCCUCUGUCAAUGCCAUUGACGGGCACGAAGGUAAGUCCCUGCCCAGAUAUCUGUGGACAGUCUCCUCCACAAUGAUAACAAAAUAACAGACGAACGGGUGGAAUAUGACAAGGAGGAGGAAUACUAUUUUGAAUAUGGUGAAGAUGACCAUCUGUCUGGGGAUUAUGAAAUGCACUUUCCAAGAGCCUCAAUUUUUCAGGGCAUGGACUCUAGGUGUCGAUAGCUUUCCACAAGUUGGCUGGAUGACCUUUGCUCUGAGGACCAUUCUUGAUACACCUACUACCAUACCCUGUUCAAAGGUGCAUACAUGUUUUUGUCUUGCCCGUUCACCCUGUGAAUGACACACAUACACACUCCAUGUCUCAAUUGUCUCAAGGCUUAAAAAUCCUUCUUUAGCCUAUCUCCUCCAGCUCAUCUACACUGAGUGAAGGUGAUUUAACAAGUGACAUCAAUAA